GAUGAACGCUGGCGGCGUGCUUAACACAUGCAAGUCGAACGGGGUUAUUUUGGAAGCUAAGAAUAGCUUGCUAGGAAGAGUGGAAGAAAUAACUUAGUGGCGGACGGGUGAGUAACGCGUGAGGAUCUGUCCAUUGCAGGGGGACAACAGUUGGAAACGGCUGCUAAUACCGCAUACGCGUGUCGUAAGAUGCGUGAAAGGAAUUUAUUCCGGCAAUGGAGGAACUCGCGUCCUAUCAGCUAGUAGGUGAGGUAAGCGCUCACCUAGGCGAUGACGGGUAGCCGGCCUGAGAGGGCGCACGGCCACACUGGGACUGAGAUACGGCCCAGACUCCUACGGGAGGCAGCAGUGGGGAAUAUUGGGCAAUGGGCGAAAGCCUGACCCAGCGACGCCGCGUGAGUGAUGAAGUCUUUCGGGACGUAAAACUCUUUUGUACGGGAAGAAGGACGUGACGGUACCGUACGAAUAAGCCCCGGCAAACUACGUGCCAGCCGCCGCCGUAACAC
rnacentral:rRNA from 1 species